GCACAGUCAGAGCUUUCCCAAGGACUACUUUGGUGCUGUGUGAACAGUCUUCCAGUUUGUUGACAGAAGUACGUUUGCUUCAUCAAAGAUAAACUUGUGUAGCUGUGAACAUCUGGAUUGUCCAUCUUUUCCACUGACAAAAGAUGGGAUUUUUUUUCUGCUAUGAUGGACAAAGAGUUGAGCUCAGGUAGGGCUAUAUUUUGUCAACGGGGCAAUUGACGGAUGAUGCAGCUUUUAACUUUUAACCAUGGAGAUAUGGCACAGCUGUAACUUCUGAUUCAUGGACUUCUAAUGGGAUUCAUAAGACUUUACAGGAUUCCGGAAUAGGAUGGGCUGUCUACACAAGCUCUACUGUAUAGUGAGUGACUGGAGGCUUGUGCUGUGUGCCAGCUUACUAUGCCACUUAACAAAACCAGUUCACAUGGCUUGAUCCUCUUCUAGAUACAAGAUGUUAAAAGGACAGGUCUCUGCAAGGGCGUAUGUGUUACCGAUAGGAAGGUGAUUUUGUGACCUUUGGCCAAAUAACAGCAGUUUGCAAUAUGCAUAGUGAAACCACAAGGGAAAACAGUUUUUGUAAUUGUAUGGUCAGGACUCAAAAUGGCAUUCUGCGUGCAAGGACUGGACCUUAGUCUCUAUGAAAUCAAAGCAGAUAAAUGAACCUCUACAAAUUCUGCAUUUACCCGUGGGGUUAGGGUGAAAUCGGUAUCAUUCUACCACUUGCAUUACUGAUAAGAGGCUCUAAGCACAUAGCCGGUGGUGUUGUAUGCUCCUUUUGCAGUAUUGAGAUUUCCCUUAUCUCCUUUCUCACACCACAGCAGCGGGAUGAACCACACUUCACUGUUUUGCUAAAAUGACUUCCAGAGCGAGGCAGUUGCUGUGGUUGGAUGGAUGAAACAUUUCUGAAGUGUCACUCACUGGAUUAUGAGCGUGAAUAAUGUCUAUCUUGUGUCUGGUGCUGUCGUGCUUUACUUGGAGAGACAGUAAGCUUUACUCAGUGUUUGUGACUGCCAGUGAAGUCUAUUCUCUAGUUGCUUACUGGAGAGGGAAGUUCUGGUAGCCUGGCUCAGCCAGCAGGUAUUAACUCAAGGACCAGUGCAGGCAAUCUGAUUCCUUGCUGUUUGAACAGGAUAUGUACAGGAUGUGGAUUAAAAAACAUUGUGAACAGAAGUGAAUUAUAAGAUCCUUUUGGCUGUUGAGUUUCUGCACAAGGGAGUCAGUUUCUUAGAAAAUAGGUAGCUAUGCAGAAGGACAAGGAAAAUGGAGUACUUAAACCUGCUGAUGGCCUGUGUGAAGAACACAUCAAAGGUUACCGCUCUGAUCCCUGUAAUCCAAGAAAACUGAAUAAAAAGUUUUUCAGUGCAGUUGUGAUAUGGGUAUUCAUCCUAGUGGUGCUUCCUAUUGCCUGCACCUUACUUCUCAGAGAAGUACUGAGACUGAGUUUCUUUGCACUUAACUAUGCUUUCAUUUAAUCUGGGAGGCAGGAAGUACUUUCUCUUUCUUGACAAUUUCUAGCAGCUUUAUCCCAGCUUCCUCAGACUUUUGGGUGGAGUAGAGUCCUGAUUAAGUAUCUGUUCUUACAGACUUGUCAGCUCUGCUUCUCCACUGUUGCAGCACAACUCAGGCUUAUUUUGGAAAGUAUGGUUUCCUUGAAGCACUAGGUGAACAAUGACACAAGAGCAAGUCAGCAGUGUGGUAGAUGUCUAAUUUCCUCUCACAGGUGUGUGCUCUUUCUUGCUCUGAAUCUCUUCUUGCUACUUUGAUUGCUUUUUAGCCAAAUGAGCAAAAUAAAAGAUUUUUUAUUCUUAA